UACGUAGGGUCCGAGCGUUGUCCGGAAUUACUGGGCGUAAAGAGCUCGUAGGUGGUUUGUCGCGUUGUCCGUGAAAACUCACAGCUUAACUGUGGGCGUGCGGGCGAUACGGGCAGACUGGAGUACUGCAGGGGAGACUGGAAUUCCUGGUGUAGCGGUGGAAUGCGCAGAUAUCAGGAAGAACACCUAUGGCGAAGGCAGCUCUCUGGGACGGUACUGACGCUGAGACGCGAAAGCGUGGGGAGCGAACAGG
rnacentral:rRNA from 1 species